GGAAAAACAAAAGGCAGUGAGUUCUCUCAGCCAAUCUCUCAGCCAAUCUCUCAGCCAAUUACAGGUCAACUUUCUCGUCCACCCCGCUCACUGCUGCGCUUGACUGGUCUUUG
ensembl:misc_RNA Y_RNA Y RNA